UCUGGUUCUGUACAGUUUCGGUAAAUAAAUCAUAACUUAUUUAUUUCUACUCCAAAAAUUACACGCCAUAUAUGAAUAUGACCAUAACAGAGAGAUCUAUCCUCAUAACAAUUUUCGUAGUUUUUAUAAAUAAACUCGUGGGUGAAACAUGAGUUAAAGUCCGUACCUAUGAAUCUGUAAAUUUUACAUAUAACCAUCUAUUUCAAGAUUCUAGACUCAAUAAACUUACCUACCUCUAAUCCAAAACUUAAACAUAU
rnacentral:lncRNA from 1 species